rnacentral:tRNA from 1 species
UACUUCUAGCCGGAAUCGAACCAGCAUGUUUAAUAAACAAUAGAUUUUGAGACUAUCGUGUCUACCAUUUCCACCAUAGAAGC